rnacentral:rRNA from 1 species
AGGUAAGCUACUAAGAGCGAAUGGUGGAUGCCUUGACUGGUAAAGGCGAUGAAGGACGUACUAGACUGCGAUAAGCUACGGGGAGCUGUCAAGAAGCUUUGAUCCGUAGAUUUCCGAAUGGGGCAACCCAAUGUAUAGAGAUAUACAUUACCUAUAUAGGAGCGAACGAGGGGAAUUGAAACAUCUUAGUACCCUCAGGAAAAGAAAUCAAUAGAGAUUGCGUCAGUAGCGGCGAGCGAAAGCGCAAGAGGGCAAACCCAGUGCUUGCACUGGGGGUUGUAGGACUGCAAUGUGCAAGAGGUAAGUUUAGCAGAACAUUCUGGAAAGUAUAACCAUAGAGGGUGAUAGUCCCGUAUGCGAAAAACAAACCUUAGCUAGCAGUAUCCUGAGUAGGGCGGGACACGAGGAAUCCUGUCUGAAUCCGGGUCGACCACGAUCCAACCCUAAAUACUAAUACCAGAUCGAUAGUGCACAAGUACCGUGAGGGAAAGGUGAAAAGAACUGAGGUGAUCAGAGUGAAAUAGAACCUGAAACCAUUUGCUUACAAUCAUUCAGAGCCUUAUGUAGCAAUACAGGGUGAUGGACUGCCUUUUGCAUAAUGAGCCUGCGAGUUGUGGUGUCUGGCAAGGUUAAGCAAACGCGAAGCCGUAGCGAAAGCGAGUCUGAAUAGGGCGCUUAGUCAGAUGCUGCAGACCCGAAACGAAGUGAUCUAUCCAUGAGCAAGUUGAAGCUAGUGUAAGAACUAGUGGAGGACUGAACCCAUAGGCGUUGAAAAGCCCCGGGAUGACUUGUGGAUAGGGGUGAAAGGCCAAUCAAACUUCGUGAUAGCUGGUUCUCUCCGAAAUAUAUUUAGGUAUAGCGUUGUGUCGUAAUAUAAGGGGGUAGAGCACUGAAUGGGCUAGGGCAUACACCAAUGUACCAAACCCUAUCAAACUCCGAAUACCUUAUAUGUAAUCACAGCAGUCAGGCGGCGAGUGAUAAAAUCCGUCGUCAAGAGGGAAACAACCCAGACUACCAGCUAAGGUCCCUAAAUCUUACUUAAGUGGAAAACGAUGUGAAGUUACUUAAACAACCAGGAGGUUGGCUUAGAAGCAGCCAUCCUUUAAAGAAAGCGUAAUAGCUCACUGGUCUAGUGAUUUUGCGCGGAAAAUAUAACGGGGCUAAAGUAAGUACCGAAGCUGUAGACUUAGUUUACUAAGUGGUAGGAGAGCGUUCUAUUUGCGUCGAAGGUAUACCGGUAAGGAGUGCUGGAGCGAAUAGAAGUGAGCAUGCAGGCAUGAGUAGCGAUAAUUAAUGUGAGAAUCAUUAACGCCGUAAACCCAAGGUUUCCUACGCGAUGCUCGUCAUCGUAGGGUUAGUCGGGUCCUAAGUCGAGUCCGAAAGGGGUAGACGAUGGCAAAUUGGUUAAUAUUCCAAUACCAACAUUAGUGUGCGAUGGAAGGACGCUUAGGGCUAAGGGGGCUAGCGGAUGGAAGUGCUAGUCUAAGGUCGUAGGAGGUUAUACAGGCAAAUCCGUAUAACAAUACUCCGAGAACUGAAAGGCUUUUUGAAGUCUUCGGAUGGAUAGAAGAACCCCUGAUGCCGUCGAGCCAAGAAAAGUUUCUAAGUUUAGCUAAUGUUGCCCGUACCGUAAACCGACACAGGUGGGUGGGAUGAGUAUUCUAAGGCGCGUGGAAGAACUCUCUUUAAGGAACUCUGCAAAAUAGCACCGUA